GUGGAGACUUGUAGGUUCUCCGCAACUCUGCCAGAAAUCCCUGAUAGUUGUUUCGCAACGGGCUGUCCGGUUGCAUGUGAGGGAUCGCCCACUUCUCUGCCUCUCCGGUCA
rnacentral:pre_miRNA from 10 species